rnacentral:rRNA from 1 species
AGUAAUGUAUGGGGAUCUGCCUGAUGGCGGGGGAUAACUACUGGAAACGGUAGCUAAUACCGCAUAAUGUCUGCGGACCAAAGCGGGGGACCUCCGGGCCUCGCGCCAUCAGAUGAACCCAUAUGGGAUUAGCUUGUAGGUAAGGUAACGGCUUACCUAGGCGACGAUCCCUAGCUGGUCUGAGAGGAUGAUCAGCCACACUGGAACUGAGACACGGUCCAG